rnacentral:rRNA from 1 species
ACACGGUCCAGACUCCUACGGGAGGCAGCAGUGGGGAAUAUUGGACAAUGGGCGAAAGCCUGAUCCAGCCAUGCCGCGUGUGUGAAGAAGGUCUUCGGAUUGUAAAGCACUUUAAGUUGGGAGGAAGGGCAGUAAAUUAAUACUUUGCUGUUUUGACGUUACCGACAGAAUAAGCACCGGCUAACUCUGUGCCAGCAGCCGCGGUAAUACAGAGGGUGCAAGCGUUAAUCGGAAUUACUGGGCGUAAAGCGCGCGUAGGUGGUUCGUUAAGUUGGAUGUGAAAUCCCCGGGCUCAACCUGGGAACUGCAUUCAAAACUGACGAGCUANAGUAUGGUAGAGGGUGGUGGAAUUUCCUGUGUAGCGGUGAAAUGCGUAGAUAUAGGAAGGAACACCAGUGGCGAAGGCGACCGCCUGGACUGAUACUGACACUGAGGUACGAAAGCGUGGGGAGCAAACAGG